UUUGCCUUGCAGGAAGUGUGACUCCUACUGAUUCUGCUGCUUAUCUCAUGUGGGAGGAAGAAAAUGUCUUUAUCCAGCAGUGAGGUGGGUCCCUGGAAUCCCUGGAUUUCCACAAUUUGCAAUGAUCCUCCUUGGUAGAGACCAUGCUUUCAAGCACAAUCCGUGCAACACUGUCAGUGCUGAAACUGUCUGCGUAAAAGCACACAAGCAGUAGUGUCCCUCCCCCACAUAUGGACAGAGGAGACCUGGGUGGAAAGAAUCAGUCAUGAAGCUAAGGAGAGCCACAGGCAUGACAGAAAGCCUCUGAAACAGGAUGGAGUGGCAGAAAGGCUGCAUUUUCUCAAGGGAUCUGUGCAUUGCAUGAAAUGAGAUGAUCCUGCCACCUUUUCUG